AGCUUUGUGCAGUAGCAGUAUCGUAGCCAAUGAGGUUUAUCCGAGGCACGAUUAUUGCUAAUUAAAUUUCUACUUCAAUAAUU
rnacentral:snRNA from 1 species